AGAGUUUGAUCAUGGCUCAGAUUGAACGCUGGCGGCAUGCUUUACACAUGCAAGUCGAACGGUAACGCGGGUUUCGGCCUGGCGACGAGUGGCGAACGGGUGAGUAACACAUCGGAACGUGCCCGGGAGUGGGGGAUAACCUCGAGAAAUCGAGGCUAAUACCGCAUACGUCCUGAGGGAGAAAGCGGGGGACCGGUAACGGCCUCGCGCUCACGGAGCGGCCGAUGUCCGAUUAGCUUGUUGGUGGGGUAACGGCUCACCAAGGCGACGAUCGGUAGCUGGUCUGAGAGGAUGAUCAGCCACACUGGGACUGAGACACGGCCCAGACUCCUACGGGAGGCAGCAGUGGGGAAUUUUGGACAAUGGGGGCAACCCUGAUCCAGCCAUGCCGCGUGAGUGAAGAAGGCCUUCGGGUUGUAAAGCUCUUUCGGCCGGAACGAAAUCGCCCGGGUGAAUAAUCCGGGUGGAUGACGGUACCGGAAGAAGAAGCACCGGCUAACUACGUGCCAGCAGCCGCGGUAAUACGUAGGGUGCGAGCGUUAAUCGGAAUUACUGGGCGUAAAGCGUGCGCAGGCGGCUCUUCAAGUCAGGUGUGAAAGCCCCGGGCUUAACCUGGGAAUUGCGCUUGAAACUGGGGGGCUAGAGUGUGGCAGAGGGAGGUGGAAUUCCUGGUGUAGCGGUGAAAUGCGUAGAUAUCAGGAGGAACACCGAUGGCGAAGGCAGCCUCCUGGGCCAACACUGACGCUCAGGCACGAAAGCGUGGGGAGCAAACAGGAUUAGAUACCCUAGUAGUCC
rnacentral:rRNA from 1 species